GGAACAGUAGUAAAGUUGGUCAAUACACUGCACUGAAAAUGCAGAUAUACAGGUUCAAUUCCUGUCUGUUCCA
rnacentral:tRNA from 1 species